GCCCUGGUAGCUCAAUUGGUUAGAGCGUCGGACUUUUACGGUUUCCUUACGGUGCUGUCAGAGCCAUCCGAAGGCUGCGGGUUCGACCCCCGCCUGGGGCG